rnacentral:lncRNA from 12 species
CCCCCCCCCCCCCCCCCCCCCCCCCCCCCCCCCCCCCCCCCCCCCCCCCCCCCCCCCCCCCCCCCCCCCCCCCCUGCAUCCCUGCUCCCAGACACACCAGCCCAGCACACAUCACCUCACUGCAUCCCUGCUCCCAGACACACCAGCUAUAGACACAUCACCUCACUGCAUCCCUGCUCCCAGACACACCAGCUAUAGACACAUCACCUCACUGCAUCCCUGCUCCCAGACACACCAGCCCUGCACACAGUGCAGGGCUGCUGGGGAGUCCCCCAGACACCUGCCAUCCCACACCCUGUGCAGAUCCUGCUUUUGAA